UUAAUUGAAUCCAAAGCCUAGAGGAAAAUUACUGUUAAUAAUUAAAUUGAAUUAGAUAUUCCAAUUAAU
rnacentral:tRNA from 1 species